UACGUAGGGUGCGAGCGUUAAUCGGAAUUACUGGGCGUAAAGCGUGCGUAGGCGGCCAUCUAAGUCAGACGUGAAAUCCCCCGGCUCAACCUGGGAACUGCGUCUGAUACUGGGAGGCUAGAGUUUGGGAGAGGGAUGUAGAAUUCCAGGUGUAGCGGUGAAAUGCGUAGAUAUCGGGAGGAACACCGGUGGCGAAGGCGGGUUCUCUGGGCCUUACCUGACGCUGAGGAGCGAAAGCGUGGGGAGCGAACAGGAUU
rnacentral:rRNA from 1 species